rnacentral:lncRNA from 1 species
CAGAGGUGUCUUGGGGGGGGUCUUGAGUCCUCCAGCGGGUUUUUGGGGGGGGUCCUGUUGACCCCACGUGGGUCUGGGGGGGGAGGCUGCGAAUUUUUUCCUUGUCUUUUCCCUUCCAGGACCGGGCGCUGGUUUCCAAAGCAGCACCCAAACGUCCUCCCCACCCAAGGGUGCCCCACCCGCAGCCGCCAGCAGCGCCGCCAGCCGUUCCCAGCAAUGUCCUGCAGCUGCUGGAGCCCGGAGAUGGGGUGGGUGCCCUUGGGUGCCCUUGGGUGUCACUGGGUGCCAUUGGGUGUCACUGGGUGCCAUUGGGUGCCAUUGGGUGUCGUUGGGUGAUCAUUGGGUGUCGUUGGGUGAUCAUUGGGUGCCAUUGGGUGCCGUUGGGUGCCAUUGGGUGCCGUUGGGUUCCAUUGGGUGCCACUGGGUGCCAUUGGUUGAUCAUUGGGUGCCAUUGGGUUCCAUUGGGUGCCAUUGGUUGAUCGUUGGGUUCCAUUGGGUGCCACUAGUUGAUCAUUGGGUGCCGUUGGGUUCCAUUGGGUGUCAUUGGUUGAUCAUUGGAUGCUGUUGGGUGCUGUUGUAUUCCAUUGGCUGAUCAUUGGGUGCCAU